CGCUCCGGUGACCUAAUGGUUAGAGCGUACGCCUUGGAUGCCUAAGGUCAUGGGUUCGAUCCCCGGCCGAGUAA